rnacentral:rRNA from 1 species
GAUGAACGCUAGCUACAGGCUUAACACAUGCAAGUCGAGGGGCAGCAUCAUCAAAGCUUGCUUUGAUGGAUGGCGACCGGCGCACGGGUGAGUAACACGUAUCCAACCUGCCGACAACACUGGGAUAGCCUUUCGAAAGAAAGAUUAAUACCGGAUGGCAUAGUUUUCCCGCAUGGGAUGAUUAUUAAAGAAUUUCGGUUGUCGAUGGGGAUGCGUUCCAUUAGGCAGUUGGCGGGGUAACGGCCCACCAAACCUACGAUGGAUAGGGGUUCUGAGAGGAAGGUCCCCCACAUUGGAACUGAGACACGGUCCAAACUCCUACGGGAGGCAGCAGUGAGGAAUAUUGGUCAAUGGACGAGAGUCUGAACCAGCCAAGUAGCGUGAAGGAUGACUGCCCUAUGGGUUGUAAACUUCUUUUAUACGGGAAUAAAGUGAGCCACGUGUGGCUUUUUGUAUGUACCGUAUGAAUAAGGAUCGGCUAACUCCGUGCCAGCAGCCGCGGUAAUACGGAGGAUUCGAGCGUUAUCCGGAUUUAUUGGGUUUAAAGGGAGCGUAGGCGGGUUGUUAAGUCAGUUGUGAAAGUUUGCGGCUCAACCGUAAAAUUGCAGUUGAUAC